rnacentral:rRNA from 1 species
UCGAGAAUUUUUCUCAAUGGGGGCAACCCUGAAGGAGCGACGCCGCGUGGAGGAUGAAGGUUUUCGGAUUGUAAACUCCUGUCAUUGGUGAACAAGGCUUCCGGUUAACUGCCGGAUAGUUUGCUAGUAGCCGAAGAGGAAGGGACGGCUAACUCUGUGCCAGCAGCCGCGGUAAUACAGAGGUCCCGAGCGUUGUUCGGAUUCAUUGGGCGUAAAGGGUGCGUAGGCGGUAGAGUAAGUCUGAUGUGAAAUCCCGGGGCUCAACCCCGGAACUGCAUUGGAUACUGCUUUGCUUGAGUACUGGAGAGGGAACUGGAAUUUACGGUGUAGCAGUGAAAUGCGUAGAGAUCGUAAGGAAGGCCAGUGGCGAAGGCGAGUUCCUGGACAGUUACUGACGCUGAGGCACGAAGGCCAGGGGAGCAAACGG